CGCGACCCCAGGUCAGGCGGGAUCACCCGCUGAGUUUAAGCAUAUCA
rnacentral:rRNA from 1 species